UAGUUGGUUCCACCAGGGCAUGUAAAUGUGCUAGUUUGAUCAUCCUUAGGAUAACUAUAAGCAUCAGGACAUCUCGUCUUGAAAAACCUUGAUAAAUCAGUUGGUCCACAAUUUCCAGAGUUACAACAAUACUGAUCAGUUUUGUACACGGUGCAAGGGUUAUGGCACCCACCAGAAGUCCAAAUCAAGAUUUUGAUAUUGAUUGAGAGCGAACUCAGCCAACGUGUUAGGUGGGGUUCCAUAGUUUUGGCAUCUGAGGAGACCGUUGCAAUCACCGGUUUGGCACCUGCCACGCCCUGAGCCAUCAAAGUUGCAACCGGUUCGGGGCCAUAUACGUGCUCCUGCUGUGCCAGCUGCGACGUUUAAGGACCAUGUUUGGCCUGGGUUAAGUUGUCGGCCUCCACCAGGAACCGCACCAGCCCAAACGGUGUACCGACAGUUGUUUCGGAUAUUGAAAACGGCUGCAUUG
rnacentral:lncRNA from 1 species